CGUGGCUCGGAGGCGCUUUGGAGGCGUUGAUGGCAUCGCUGGGUUCGGUUUGCAGCGGGUGUCCGCUAAGGGAUACGGUGUUCUUCCUGAGUGGGCACGGUUCUCGGUGCCGGGUACUGAGAAAAUACGUCUCCCUUAGAGUACCGCGGAAAGGUUCUCAGUGCGCUCUCUAUCAAGUGCUAUGAGUCUUGAUAAAUUGGAGAAGAGCCCAAGAGAAAUUUUUCAUCCCUUGAUAUAAAAGGAUUUAUUGGUUCUGGAAGAACAAGAGGGAAGUACAAGCCUAACUACUUCUAGCUCACAGGCCCGUCCAGUGAACCCAGGGACCGGUGAAUUUUAACUUUGGAGUCCCCUAUGCUAAGGAUGCUCAGCUUACAGGUGAUGAAAUGUUCAGUAAUGUAUUUGCUGCAGCUCUGCUUACCCAAGCUUUGGGUUCCUUCUGUCCCACUGGGAGUUGCCCAGUUUGGUUGCAUCUGGUGAAAUUCACCCUGAGACCUUACAGAACUAGCUCCAACUACGUGAGAGCCAUUUGCAGUUCUCUCCAGACACCUGGAGAAUGGGUGACGUUUCUGAGGAUCCGGCGAGCGUGCUUCUAUCAAAACUCAGUCUGUGAAAUUCCUGGGGAAAACCCUUCUGUGUCCUGAAGGGUUCAAACUCUGGUGAGGAUCCAGUUAUCAGGGGCUCACCUGGAUGGUUCCAGCUCCCAAAGUUAACACUUCUACUCUUGCCCUGUAGUUUACAUCUAUUGUAUUUUUGUUAUUUUGCAACAUUUUUUGUCUUUGCAAAAUAUUGUGCAUUUCACUCUUUGGAACCUCUCAGAUGGUUCUUUGGUGCAGCACCACCCCAGGGGACACUUGGCUGCUGUCCUGAAGGGUUUGGUCGCUAGAAUUGUGAAUCCUGGAGAGUUUGUGAGUCUUCUGUCCCCAGGGAGGUGUCGUGCUUUGUUUACUUUUGUUCUGUUGGUUAGGCGCUGCUUCUCGUUGCAAGUAUGAAUUUCAAACUGCCCUGUUCUUAUUUUAACUGUUUUCCUGGUUCUCUCUGUCCGGCAGGGAAAGACUCUCGUAUCCUUGUCGUCGGGCUCGGUGCUGUCCAAGAAGAUACAGAGACUAAAAAAAUCAUAAGAAGCAAAAUAUGACUGCAGGGAAAAGAAGCUGGAGAGAACAGAAGGUGAUGUUGUUAUCCUUACCCUGUAUUAGAAACAUCCGCUGUGCUUUGAUGCUGGCAGCUGCCAGGGGCUUGUUAGCUCUUUGUAGGCAGGUGUAGGUGUUCACUUGUAGGUUUUUUCUCUGGACAAGGCAAUUCAAACUUUGCUAAGCUUAUAUUUGCAGAUUGCUCUCUAGCACAGUCCAGCAUGACAUUUUUGAAUGUUGUAAAAAUACCAUGUUACUUGGAAAUUGCUAAUGAAGAGAAGCUUUAGGGGAAAAUAAGAUUUCAGGGUUGGAAGAUGUGAGAAGAAUUUUGUGGGGACGUUAGACUGAAGUAAAGCACACUUGAAGCUGGACUGGCACGCUGGCAGGUCCCAUAUUAAACAGUAGUGCUGAGAUUAGCCUGGGGGUUGCCCAUUGUUUCUGUAGAAAUCAAUGUUUCCUGGUCUUGAGAGGGAAGCUGCUUUGAAAAGCUGGAAGGUGCAGCAUGCUGACAAUCCCCGUGCUUUGGAUUAAAAGUAGAUUUCAGAAGGGUCCUAAGCUUUUGUCUUUUCCUUGAAGUUGAUGUAAUCCUAUCGAGGAGUUUUUAGUUCUGUGUUGCCAUGUCAUCCAUCAGAGCCCUGUUGUACUAAUCUUCAUACAAGUACAAAACAAAAAAUCAGACCCUGUCCCAAGCACUUAGAGGCCAGAACACGAUUUCCUCGGGCUGCCAUUUGUGUGCCAUCGGUACUCACCACGAAUUGAGCCCUCUGGCUCUGACAGAGCCCCUGGAUGCUGACGGAAGGGGGCUGGUCACAGACCCUGGAGGUGCCUGUCCCCCAGGGUGGGAGAGGACGAGGCAGUGUGGCCUGCAGGGAGGGUCUGGUCCCCAGAGAGCAGCCGGCGACUGCCCGGGGCUGCGGGUGCACC